GACGAACGCUGGCGGCGUGCUUAACACAUGCAAGUCGAGCGGUAAGGCCCUUCGGGGUACACGAGCGGCGAACGGGUGAGUAACACGUGGGUGACCUGCCUCUAGCUCUGGGAUAAGCCUGGGAAACUGGGUCUAAUACCGGAUAUGACUCCACGGCGCAUGUUGUGGGGUGGAAAGCCUUGUGUGGCUAGAGAUGGGCCCGCGGCCUAUCAGCUUGUUGGUGGGGUGAUGGCCUACCAAGGCGACGACGGGUAGCCGGCCUGAGAGGGCGACCGGCCACACUGGGACUGAGACACGGCCCAGACUCCUACGGGAGGCAGCAGUGGGGAAUCUUGCGCAAUGGGCGAAAGCCUGACGCAGCGACGCCGCGUGAGGGAUGACGGCCUGG
rnacentral:rRNA from 1 species